UAAACAAUGAGGCCGGAUUUAGGAUAACCCAGCCCAAUACUAAUUGAACUACACUAUGCAGCUGAGAGUGUUCUCUACACUUUCCUAAUUGUUGUCCACUUCUCUUCCCCGUAUUGCCUGCCUCUCUCCAUUGAAAAUUGCAUCUACUUCGUCUCCUGCUGUGAGUAUUUCGCACCCUAUCUCUUGAUGAUUCUUGAUGGCUUUGUCGAUACAAGGUCGUCGUGAUUUCUCUCUGUAGAGGUACUUUUGUGGACAAAACCCUCUCUGGUUGCUGUUGUUUUCCUCUAUCUCCAAAUGAAUGACCCCGAUCUUGCUAUCUUCUCUUCUUGGUGGACAUAUUUUACAGCAACGACUAGUCCUAGCUAGACUUCCGUCAUAGCUUCCAUCAUUCAUCGCCCUAACACCGUUUGUUAUGUAUUUAACUUUACCAUAUUUAUCUGCUUCCUCUAUCAAUCUCAUUGUGUGGUUAUCUUUCUUGUUUUAAUUCUGAUGCUUGGUAUUUAAGCUUUAUCCAUGUUUAGUAUUUUCUUCA